rnacentral:rRNA from 1 species
UGCUCUUGGGUGACGAGCGGCGGACGGGUGAGUAAUGCUGGGAAACUGCCUGAUGGAGGGGGAUAACUACUGGAAACGGUAGCUAAUACCGCAUAAGUCGCAAGACCAAAGAGGGGGACCUUCGGGCCUCUUGCCAUCAGAUGUGCCCAGAUGGGAUUAGCUAGUAGGUGGGGUAACGGCUCACCUAGGCGACGAUCCCUAGCUGGUUGAGAGGAUGACCAGCCACACUGGAACUGAGACACGGUCCAGAUCUACGGGAGGCAGCAGUGGGGAAUAUUGCACAAUGGGCGCAAGCCUGAUGCAGCCAUGCCGCGUGUAUGAAGAAGGCCUUCGGGUUGUAAAGUACUUUCAGCGGGGAGGAAGGUGUUGAGGUUAAUAACCUCAGCAAUUGACGUUACCCGCAGAAGAAGCACCGGCUAACUCCGUGCCAGCAGCCGCGGUAAUACGGAGGGUGCAAGCGUUAAUCGGAAUUACUGGGCGUAAAGCGCACGCAGGCGGUCUGUCAAGUCGGAUGUGAAAUCCCCGGGCUCAACCUGGGAACUGCAUUAAACGCAGGCUAGAGUCUUGUAGAGGGGGGUAGAAUUCCAGGUGUAGCGGUGAAAUGCGUAGAGAUCGGAGGAAUACCGGUGGCGAAGGCGGCCCCCGACAAAGACACCAG